UGGGGAAUAUUGCACAAUGGAGGAAACUCUGAUGCAGCGACGCCGCGUGAGUGAUGAAGGCCUUCGGGUCGUAAAGCUCUGUCGCAGGGGAAUAACACAAUGAAGGUACCCUGUAAGAAAGGAUCGGCUAACUUCGUGCCAGCAGCCGCGGUAAGACGAGGGAUCCUAGCGUUGUUCGGAAUUAUUGGGCGUAAAGCGGGUGUAGGUGGCUAUGUAAGUCAAGUGUGAAAGCCUGGGGCUCAACCCCAGAAGUGCAUUUGAUACUGCGUAGCUUGAGUGCUGGAGAGGUUACUAGAAUUGUUGGUGUAGUGGUGAAAUACGUAGAUAUCAACAGGAAUACCGGUGGCGAAGGCGGGUAACUGGCCAAGCACUGACACUCAGACCCGAAAGCGUGGGGAUCAAACA
rnacentral:rRNA from 1 species